rnacentral:tRNA from 1 species
GCCUUCGUAGUGUAAUGUAACACACUCGGCACGUAUUCGAGAGGUUUAGGUUCGAGUCCUGCCAAGUGUA